rnacentral:rRNA from 1 species
UACGUAGGGUGCGAGCGUUGUCCGGAAUUAUUGGGCGUAAAGAGCUCGUAGGCGGUUUGUCACGUCUGCUGUGAAAUCCCGAGGCUCAACCUCGGGCCUGCAGUGGGUACGGGCAGACUGGAGUGCGGUAGGGGAGAAUGGAAUUCCUGGUGUAGCGGUGAAAUGCGCAGAUAUCAGGAGGAACACCGGUGGCGAAGGCGGAUCUCUGGGCCAUUACUGACGCUGAGGAGCGAAAGCGUGGGGAGCAAACAGG